rnacentral:rRNA from 1 species
AUCAGGGGUAAACCUGUGGAACUCGAACGAACGAACGGGGAGAUUCAUCGUAUUUCCGUUUACGGAUCCGCGGCGCGAUCGCUAAUCGCGACUGCUGCGUCGUCUCGCGCGGCGUUCACGGUCGCGACGGUCGCGCCGUAUCGGCAAGGUCCGCGGAAUGCGUGCACUUCUCCCUUAGUAAAACACCGCGACCCGUUCGUGUUUUAUCGAUCGAACGCGCCGUGCGGUUGUCCCGUUUCGAACGUUAAAAAUUCGGGGCGGAGCCGCGGCGUCGCGAUCGGUGACGGACGGUAAAAAACGAGGUUCGCCUUCGCCGCGGGUUAAUAGCCCGCGGCGUCCGUGCGUCGGACCGGUGCGGUCCCGUUCGGACCUCGGCGCUUCGCGCGUCGCGGGAUCCGGACGCGGUCUGCCGUACCGUAUGCGCCGGCGCUUCUCGGACGGAAGGCGUCCCGGUCGGCGGUGGUUUUGUUUCGGGCACUCACAGGACCC